AUGAACGCUUGCGGCGUGCCUCAUACCUGCAAGUCGAGCGAACAGACGAGGAGCUUGCUCCUCUGACGUUAGCGGCGGACGGGUGAGUAACACGUGGAUAACCUACCUAUAAGACUGGGAUAACUUCGGGAAACCGGAGCUAAUACCGGAUAAUAUAUUCCACCGCAUGGUUCAAUAGUGAAAGACGGUUUUGCUGUCACUUAUAGAUGGAUCCGCGCCGCAUUAGCUAGUUGGUAAGGUAACGGCUUACCAAGGCAACGAUGCGUAGCCGGCCUGAGAGGGUGAUCGGCCACACUGGAACUGAGACACGGUCCAGACUCCUACGGGAGGCAGCAGUAGGGAAUCUUCCGCAAUGGGCGAAAGCUUGACGGAGCAACGCCGCGUGAGUGAUGAAGGUCUUCGGAUCGUAAAACUCUGUUAUUAGGGAAGAACAAAUGUGUAAGUAACUAUGCACGUCUUGACGGUACCUAAUCAGAAAGCCACGGCUAACUACGUG
rnacentral:rRNA from 1 species